UACGUAGGGGGCAAGCGUUGUCCGGAAUUAUUGGGCGUAAAGCGCGCGCAGGCGGUUCUUUAAGUCUGGUGUCUAAGUGCGGGGCUCAACCCCGUGAUGCACUGGAAACUGGGGAACUUGAGUGCAGAAGAGGAGAGCGGAAUUCCACGUGUAGCGGUGAAAUGCGUAGAGAUGUGGAGGAACACCAAUGGCGAAGGCAGCCUUCUGGGCCAACACUGACGCUCAUGCACGAAAGCGUGGGGAGCAAACAGG
rnacentral:rRNA from 1 species